ACCUCGGUGGGAUAGUGGUAGCACGCGUUUCCGGUAUGGAUAAAACGCGGGUUCGACUCCCGCUUGAGGUC